CAAACGUGCAUUGACAUAUCUGCCAGAUGCGGUGACUAUCCAGAUUAUUAAAAAAAUAAAAGCCUCGGUAACCUAACUCGCACUUGCAGCCAGUUGCGCCGUUGUUCGGUUUUUGGGGACGAGGUAACAGGUGACGAUGUACCAAGCGUAAGUAACGUGAAACAUUCGGAAGGUGACGCAUUCUCCGCUGCUGUAGUUGGCUAUGAAAUCGAAUUUUUCAUGAAAAUGACGAAUCGUAUGAAAACGCGAUUAUGCAGUUUCCAUAUCGUAUGACAGACGACGAAACGUUGAAAUUAACCUAUUUGGUCCACACAUAGGCGAGGUACCGAAUAUUAGGCGGCUGCUCUGAACAGCGUUGCGAAUCGCCUAGGUUCCUGAUGGAUUUUUUGAGCCACACCAUUAUUCUCCGCAUCCGUUCCUAUAAUGCAUGUGGGCUCUUUAAACAGACGAAUAUUUUCUACAGCAGCUGAUGAUGCUCUUAUUUGCGACGAUAAAAUGUACUUAAAUUGCAGCCUUCGUUACUCGGGAAUAGGUGAAGAUAAUACUGACGACUAUAUUGAGUAGGAGGAGUACACCACGUAUUCGAGUGUUACACGUUUGCAUAUUGCUGAGCACUGCUGCAGCGCAGCUGUAUGCCAGGUGUAGUCUAGUCAUUCUGCUAGUUAGUCAAUACCUGCUAGUCUGCUAUUUAGUCAAUAGAUUCUGCCUUGGACCAAUUCAACUCGAUUUGUUUGACAUCUGUCCUGACGAAACCCGAUUGAACCAGAUCCGGGACAAAUAAAUCGAUUGGUUAUCGAAGGCAAUUAUUGCAACGGGUAUAAAUGCCGCAUGUUCAUGGCUGAUCGAUCCACAGUUUCAACCGACUCUGCACAAUCGAGCUGAAAAUGAAAGUCCUUGCUAUCUUUGUCCUGCUUGCCGUCUGCAUCGCUGUCGCAUCGGCCGACCAUCAUGGCAAAAAGCCCAAUCAUGGUUCCCAUUCAGGAACUCGUCAUCCUGGCACCCACAAGCCUCACCACCAUCAUACGCGCAAACCCAGAGAUCUGAGUGAUGAACCGGAACUUCGCGCCAAUACUCGUGCCCCUAAGCCAACGCGUAAGCCAAACCCUACUCAUGGGCCCAAGCCGUCCGCUAAGCCAAAGCCGACUAGCGCACCCAAGCCGACUCGUCGACAUGGACCCGUCGCUCCUUCGCGCAAGCCAACAACUCGUAAGCCUUAAGUGGCGAAGACGUUAGCCUAUAUAGAGCUCACUGAUUUCAAUCAGUUGAUGCCGGAUACCGUUCUGCAUGAAGAUCUGAUCAUCUGGGGUUAUACAACAGGUGACAGGCGAUUUCCACGGUUUCCAUUAAAUAGGCUCAAAACAUUUGAAAAAAAUGGUAUGUUUAAUUUGUUGGAUUUAAUCGGUGAUUUUUGUUGAUUUCUGAUUAAAUAAAAACGAAUUAAAUUGCCUGAAAAUGUUUAUUGGUUUCUGAAUUAAAAGACCCUGUCGAAGGCCAGAGGUUUGUGUUCUUAAGUUGUGGUUUAAACUUGAAACUGAAUUGUGCAUGAUUUUCUGUUUUGCUAAUACCAGCAUACCAGAAAUUUUUAGUUAAUAUUCAUCGUAAUUAUCUUGAGUUUCUAUUGAUGUUGGUAUGUCACUAACCCCAGCAUGGACACUAGUUGUUUUUUUUUCCGAACCUGUUUAGAUAUGUUAACAUAGAGACAGCUAUGGGAGCAUAAUCAAGGCCAUGGGUAAAUCUUCAUCAGGUUUAUUGCAGAAACUUGAAAAAUUCACAUGAAAAUCAAAAUAUGCAGGGCACAUACCAACAUGUGUUGCAUUUUUCUGAAUCUCUUACUCAAGUAGUAGAUGCGAUAUGACUGUUUGAUGCUAAAUUGGAACCCUAACUCAAACACAGAUAACCGCUAAUGCUGCCUUACAGCCACAGACAAGAAAAUGAUUCUUUUCUUCAGAAAUUUUAAGUUUUAUCUUUUGUCUUGACCCCCCCAUACUUUAUACCCCCAUACCCCCAAUCUCAUCAGAUUUAUUUGUAUGUGAUGUGUAUCUGAUUAUUCAUUUCUCAUGAGUCGUGAUGUUAAGCUUCGGAACCGGAAUAGUUCGGAAAGCAAUCCAUCCAUCCGUUCCGUACGUGGUAAUUCGUGGAGUAAUCUUUUGGCUGUCGGUAGGUGGCUAAAAUCAUGUCCACCAGCCACCAGGUGGCGCGAGUGUCUUUGUGAGGACGAAAUUUUCGCCAUUGUUUCCCGAGACGCUGACUGAAAGUGUAUUCCAAAUUCAGUACGGAAUUGCGGUGUCAAUUUACAUUUUCAUCUAUGAAAUUUAAUGGGCAAUCUGGUGUAAAAUGUCCACUUGGCCAAAUGAUCUGACAUUCUGACCACAUGAGGUGAAACUGCUGUCCAUUUUGCUGAAAUGUCGUC
rnacentral:lncRNA from 1 species